GUGCCAGCCGCCGCGGUAAUACCGGCAGCCCGAGUGAUGGCCGAUCUUAUUGGGCCUAAAGCGUCCGUAGCUGGGUCUGAAAGUCCAUCGGGAAACCCACUCGCUCAACGAGUGGCCGUCCGACGGAAACUGCACAGCUUGGGACCGGAAGGCUCGAAGGGUACGUUCGGGGUAGGAGUGAAAUCCCAUAAUCCCGCACGGACCACCGAUGGCGAAAGCACUUCGAGAAAACGGAUCCGACAGUGAGGGACGAAGGCUAGGGUCUCGAACCGGAUUAGAUACCCUUGUAGUCC
rnacentral:rRNA from 1 species